rnacentral:rRNA from 1 species
GAAAAGAAACCAACAGGGAUUGCCCUAGUAACGGCGAGUGAAGCGGCAACAGCUCAAAUUUGAAAUCUGGCCUCGGCCCGAGUUGUAAUUUGCAGAGGAUGCUUCUGGCGCGGUUCCUUCCGAGUUCCCUGGAACGGGACGCCACAGAGGGUGAGAGCCCCGUAUGGUCGGACACCAAGCCUGUGUGAAGCUCCUUCGACGAGUCGAGUAGUUUGGGAAUGCUGCUCUAAAUGGGAGGUAAAUCUCUUCUAAAGCUAAAUACCGGCCAGAGACCGAUAGCGCACAAGUAGAGUGAUCGAAAGAUGAAAAGCACCUUGAAAAGGGGGUUAAAUAGUACGUGAAAUUGUUGAAAGGGAAGCACUUAUGACCAGACUUGGGCCGGGCGGCUCAUCAGGGGUUCUCCCCUGUGCACUCCGCCCGGCACAGGCCAGCAUCGGUUUUCGCGGGGGGAUAAGACCGGCGGGAACGUAGCACCCUCCGGGGUGUGUUAUAGCCCGCCGGACGAUACCCUCGCGGGGACCGAGGUCCGCGCUCCGCAAGGAUGCUGGCGUAAUGGUCAUCAGUGACCCGUCUUGAAACACGGACCAAGGAGUCGUCCAUUAGAGCGAGCGUUUGGGUGUAAAACCCGCACGCGUAAUGAAAGUGAACGCAGGUGAGAGCUUCGGCGCAUCAUCGACCGAUCCUGAUGUCCUCGGAAGGAUUUGAGUAAGAGUUUUAACGGACGGACCCGAAAGACAGUGAACUAUGCUUGUAUAGGGUGAAGCCAGAGGAAACUCUGGUGGAGGCUCGCAGCGGUUCUGACGUGCAAAUCGAUCGUCAAAUAUGAGCAUGGGGGCGAAAGACUAAUCGAACUGUCUAGUAGCUGGUUACCGCCGAAGUUUCCCUCAGGAUAGCAGUGUUGAUCUUCAGUUUUAUGAGGUAAAGCGAAUGAUUAGGGACUCGGGGGCUAUAUAUUGCCUUCAUCCAUUCUCAAACUUUAAAUAUGUAAGAAGCCCUUGUUACUUAGUUGAACGUGGGCAUUCGAAUGUACCAACACUAGUGGGCCAUUUUUGGUAAGCAGAACUGGCGAUGCGGGAUGAACCGAACGCGGGGUUAAGGCGCCAGAGUGUACGCUCAUCAGACACCACAAAAGGCGUUAGUACAUCUUGACAGCAGGACGGUGGCCAUGGAAGUCGGAAUCCGCUAAGGACUGUGUAACAACUCACCUGCCGAAUGUACUAGCCCUGAAAAUGGAUGGCGCUCAAGCGUACCGCCCAUACCCCGCCCCCAGGGUAGAAACGAUGCCCUGGGGAGUAGGCGGCCGUGGGGGUCAGUGACGAAGCCUAGGGCGUGAGCCCGGGUCGAACGGCCCUAGUGCAGAUCUG